GGGCGAAGUGCGUGUGCUCCUGAGCUACGCACAUGUACACACCGGCGUCAGAGGCGUGGAGGGAGCGAAUCAGAAGGCCUCGAUCGGUGUGAACGACACGAUCAUCCAACCUGACCUGGAGGAUGGAAAGAGCAUAGAUUUUUCAAUUUGUCACUGGAGACAGAUGACGUCCCAUCGCCAUCUCCUCGGAUGUGUCUGGUUUAAGUCAUCCCUCACCCUCCUCAGAAACCGAGAAUGUGCAGCAAAUUUCCAAAAGCCCUCGAUGCUCAUAAACAACUAUAAUGACUUUAUUCCGGGAAUCAGCCAGGCCCUGAGUUGCUCCCUUAUUAGCUAUAAUUCCAUAACGAUAAGCAGGAUCUGCAGCGAAGUGAUUUGCGACACAAACAGUGGUGAACGGGUUCAACGCUCAGGAGUCACUAAGGAAGCUUUGAAGGGCUUAUGCAAGAAACUCCCCUGCUUUCUGACCUGGUAUCACAAAAAUGUGACCCCUCAGGUACAGUAAAGUGAGGCAAAGCAAAAACAAGAAACAGGAGGGUGACAAUGAUUUGUGUCGGUGUUUGGGUGAUGCGUGUGUACAUGCGCGUCCAUGCGUGCACUCACUCACCUCCUC